UGAGCAGUCUGCCCUUCUCUUCGGAAUAAGCGUUGGAAACGACGUCUAAUGCCGAAUACGACCUCCUUUCGCAUGAUCGGAGGUGGAAAGCUCCGGCGGAGAAGGAUGAGCUCGCGGCCUAUCAGCUAGGUUGGGUGGGGGUGAUGGCCCACCAAGGCGACGACGGGUAGCCGGCCUGAGAGGGUGACCGGCCAUACGUGGGACUGAGACACGGCCCAGACCUCCGUACGGGAGCA
rnacentral:rRNA from 1 species